GAUAUAAAAUGUUUAUUAUAUUCUUUUAUAACAAAAUAAGAUCCGAGUCUGUGUCUCUCCACCUUCAAACCUAAAAUCAAUCUCUUCCUAUGUGCAUCUCAGAAACAACAGUUGCCUCCGUCUCUUCCCAUAGUUUUAGCAUCACUGAGAAGCAACAUAGAAGCAGCCACAACAACGAACCUCUAUCCCAACAUACGAGAAACCAAUUCGGUGAUGAUGGAGAGGACCCAGAGCAACCAAAGCUUUGAGCUGUUUUAAACUCUGCUAUUGUUAGGGAAAAGCCUAAUGUUAAGCGUGGACAGAUGUUGCUGGGCAUGAAAGUGCUAAACAAGCGUUGAAGGAAGCUGUGAUUUUGCCUGUCAAGUUCCCACAGUUCUUCAUUGGUGAAUGUUUAUACUUUCAAUUCGGAUUUGUCCAUGUAAUUUGAUUUACUUCAAUUUAUCAAUCUUACUUGUUAUGAUUAGGAAGAAAAUCAUAUAUGAACCCUCAUUCCAAUGUUAGCGUUAUACGGGUAAGCAAAUCUUUGGGUCUAAUUUCACUAUUCUCUAAGCUAUAAUCCAAAUUCAUGGUCUCUUGUUUUUUUUGUCUCGAAUUCAUUAGCCAUGUUGUUGUUAAGUAGCUUUUGUGUUUCCUCUGUACUCCAUUUGAAUUUGCAGGAAGAGUAUCAGAUUUGUGAAAGAAAGGAGUUGCAGAUCCCAUAUAUCAGUUAUCAGACGUUAUCUCUUAAAGGCUCCAUUGGUUUGCUGAUUUUGUUGUUUUCCUUGGUUUGAUUUUACAGACCAGAAGAGCUUCGUGUGCCCUUUGAGACUUGGUUCCAUUUUCCAUGAAGACUUGGUACCAUUUUGCAUAACCCAGCAAAAGAUAAUCAACUUAGCUUAUUAAAGAAAAAGCUGCUCAAGAGAAGGCUGCCAAAGAGGAUCCAAAAACAAAUAAAAAGAGACACUUGAACGUGGUGUUUAUUGGGCAUGUCGGGACACAAGAGCUGGUCGAAAGAAAGGUAAUUACAUUAACCUUUUGAAUUCUUUUCUUUGAUGAUUUAAUAUAUUCUUCCAUAGAUCUUUGUACUUGUGUAAAUUCUACGCAGGAUCUUUGUACUUUUGAAUUCUUUUCAUUGAGAGAUACACAGCCUGGGAAUCUGUUAGUGUAAGAUGUAGUAACUAAGGCAUUUGAAGACAACAAGAAGAGUCUCUAGGUUCGUGUUUUUGUUUAUUGUGGCAUGUUAAGACUUAUUUUGAGACUUGUAAUGUAUGUAGUCUAUUGUAGUUGAAAUUUUCAAGAUGAUAUGUACUGUAUUUUGAGGCUU